AGACAGGUGCUGCAUGGCUGUCGUCAGCUCGUGUUGUGAAAUGUUGGGUUAAGUCCCGCAACGAGCGCAACCCUUAUCCUUUGUUGCCAGCGGUCCGGCCGGGAACUCAAAGGAGACUGCCAGUGAUAAACUGGAGGAAGGUGGGGAUGACGUCAAGUCAUCAUGGCCCUUACGAGUAGGGCUACACACGUGCUACAAUGGCGCAUACAAAGAGAAGCGACCUCGCGAGAGCAAGCGGACCUCAUAAAGUGCGUCGUAGUCCGGAUUGGAGUCUGCAACUCGACUCCAUGAAGUCGGAAUCGCUAGUAAUCGUAGAUCAGAAUGCUACGGUGAAUACGUUCCCGGGCCUUGUACACACCGCCCGUCACACCAUGGGAGUGGGUUGCAAAAGAAGUAGGUAGCUUAACCUUCGGGAGGGCGCUUACCACUUUGUGAUUCAUGACUGGGGUGAAGUCGUAACAAGGUAACCGUAGGGGAACCUGCGGUUGGAUCACCUCCUU
rnacentral:rRNA from 1 species